UCCAGCCAAGCCUCCCACGGGUCUGGUCCCGGCUCGGGCAGUCCCUAGCCGGUAAUAGAGACCUGCAACCCUCAAGAGAGGGCAGGAGGGGAGCACGGAGUCCUGGACCGGCUUCGGGGUUGGGACUCAGGAAAAUUGCCUUUGACGCCCGUAGAGGACAAGUCCCCAAGACCGUGUCAGCCGGGGAAAGGGAAGGAGAAAGAAAGAAACACCCAUGUGCCCUGACCAGGGAUCAAACCUGAAACCUCGGUGUAUCAGGAUGAUGCUCCAAUCAACUGAGGUACCCAGCCAGCACAAGCCUCAGGGUACUUAAAGAUGACCUGAAGAACUUGUGGAAAAAGUUUUUACAGAUACUCCCCAGAAGGAGGGAUGUCACCGCCUCACCCUCUGGACUGAGAACACUGGACAGUUCAAGUUAAGACCAUUUCCCUCUCUUCUGACUUAUGGGAUAAGGAAAAGUCUUUUUGGAAUCAAAACCGUCUGAGCUGGAAUGACCUGAGGAUUAUUUGGUCAGAUUCCUGGUGAGGAAAAGGAGGCUCAUGAGAGGAAAUAAUGGGAGCUAGGGGGAGGUGGUUAGUGAGCAUGUGGCAGAGAGGAGGCUUGACUUUGGUCUCUGGACUCCACCCCAGAGUUUUUCCAUGGACAUGGUCUCCUGCUGCGGUAGGGGAAUCCUUAUGUGGUAGAAUCCACCUUUUCACUGAUCUAGGUCUUCUAAGUGGAGUUAGGGCACAGUGGCCUUCAGGAGUUCCCCUACCAACCAACAUCCAUCCCAAAUACUUAUGCUGAUAAUGAUGUGCAGUGGGGGCCCCCUAGAGGCUAAAGUCCUGCACUGUAGACAGAAUUCCCUGUAUCCAUCCCAAAUCCUUACAGCUGGGGUAGAUUUGGAGAAAGAACACAAAAUGUCUGAAUUUUGAGUUUUGAGGGCCCUAAAGGGUCAUCCUUUGUUUAAAAACUUUAAAAAUUUUUUAUUUUUUAUUGCUCAAGUACAGUUUUUUCCAUUUUAAACUUCAUGGUGUGUAGAUGGGAAAAGUGACACUGAAUUGCCCAGGGUCACACACUAGCAGAGCCAGGAUUGGAAUCCAGGUCUUUCCGAUUUCCAGCACAGUGCUCUUUACACUUUACUUUGAUUCACUGCUCCCCAUAAGAUUUAGGUUCACUUGGGGACCCCCAGAGUCCCCUCAUCACCCUAAAAGCCCUAAGGGCUUUAUCUCAGUGGAGCUGGAGGGCAAAGACACGUUGGAGGGAGGAGCAUGGAGGGUCAGGCUGCUUUCCAGGGCCACUGGGGACUUUGGGGGGUUUGGGAGGGCAGAGCCACCUGGGACUCUCAGAGUAGUGUGUGCAGGGGGUAGUUUUUUAACUCUCUCUGUGACUGACUAGCUGGGUGAUUUUGCCCUAGUUCACAGGAGGCAAACACAAGGCCCGUGGGCUGAAUCCAGCCCUCCACCUUGUUUUAUCUUGGCCCGGCACUGUGUUUCUAUCCCGUGGCAGCAUCAAGCUCUUGUUUAGUUGUUAAGAAGUAGUUGUACUUAUACAGUCCUAAAAUUACAUUCGGCCCUUUGAAGGUAACUGCGAGGCUGAUGUGGCCCUGGUGAAAAUGAGUUUGACACCCCUGCCUAGUCAUUUCACCUCUCUGAGCCUCAAUUUUCUCACAUGUAAAGUAUGGUGAUGAGUAUAACAUCAUCAUCAUGAUUCUUACCUCACAGGGUUGUUGUGAGGAUCAGAGAUAACAUGUGAAAGCACUCAACAGUGACAGCAGUUAUUAUUUCCUCCCCCAGCCCCUGCCAGGCAGCCCUCUGGCCCCCUCCCUUUGUAGGCCUAUAAUGAAUAAUAUCAGGGCUGGCUAUUGCCUGGCUUUGGUGGCUUCUGAUCUCAGCCCUGAGUGCCAAGGUUUCUUCUGUAGCCCCCAGUGAAAUGAACUGACGAAUGGGCAGUGGCAACAGUCUAACUCAUUAGCAGUCAGUGGCUUGGGCAGCCUGCAGCCUGCUCUAGUCUGGCAGCUCAGCCCAUGAGGGCGGAGAGGAGCUGGUGCCAAUCCCCACAUGUUGAGGACUUGGCAGAGAGCAGCAGAAAUUCAGUCCAUGCAAGGCUUGGGAUGGAUACAGGGGUAGAUCAACAGAUGGCAACUUCCAUAUAGGCCCCGGAACAAAACUCCUAAGGCCCUGCCAGCAAUUUUCAGUCCAGACUGGCCCACAUUUAUUGUCUACCCUUUUCCCACCUGGCCUGGGGCCCCCUACCUUCAUGUACACUCCCUUGACCAUUGUGCUCCUACCUCCAGCACAACUUUCACCCCUUUUUAGGGAAGGUAACUGUAGGAAGACCUUAUUCAGCAUUGGGGGAAACCACAAGCUUUCCUCCAAUUUGCUUAACUUUCUUGGAUAUAGAGAAGGAAGAAAGUGAAGGCUGAGGGAGGCUGUGGGGAGAGUGGGGCAGAGGAACAGGUGGCUGGGGCUGGAGCUGGGGCUGGGUUCAGUCCUGCUCUAUUUCAGUAUUGAUGAGACUUUCAUCAAUAAUUCAAAGUCAUAGAAACUCCAGGUCUCAGGAGCUGGGCUCUGGGACACCUAGCAGCCAAUCAGAUAUAAUCCUCCCAGGGCAAGAGUUCAUGGCUCCUCCCCAGGCUGUCUCUCCCCACCCCCACACAAGGUCCCAGCAAAUUGGUAUUCUGCAGGCAGUGCCCAGAGCCCACGACCUCUCCUGGCACUGCUGAUGAUGCAGAAAUGCUAGGGCAAUACAAGGUACAGCUUGGACAGGGACAGACAACUGUAGGACAGCUAAUGAGUAGCCCUGGGAAGGGUUGGGGGCUAGAGGUAGAGCCACACCUUAGGACUACAGAGUCCCAGGAGAGCUCCUAAAUCCCUGCUUUCCUGUCUGUUCCAAUCUGGCAGCCAACUGACAGACUUUCCCACUCCCAACAGCAGCACUGGGUGUGAGGGGUCAUGCUGUCAUUUACAGACCCCUGGAAACUGUGUCUCAGCACUGACAGCUGGCUUACAGUUCCCAUGUCUGGAGAGAGGGUCCCUAUUGGGGUUGAGGUCUUGAGUAUGCUUAUUCCCCUGCCUCCCGUCCUGUUUCACUCUUGAGAAAAGUGCCAGUACCUUUCAGGUGAGCUGACAGCUCAGGUUGGCACCCCUUGGCAUUACCUGGCAGGGCUGACCCUGGAGGCUACAGAUUACACCACGGGUGGGAAAACAGGCCAGGGCCCUGGCAGUAUCCUUGCUGCACAAGACAGGGACAGGACUGGCACUUACAUGGCUAUGAGUCUCCUCAUUGCCAUAGCAACAGCCUGAACUGAAUGACCUUUUCAUGGGACGGUGGGAGGCAAGCUGAUUGGCUGGGACACCACCCUCCCUUUCCCUGUCCAGUGUGGGGCCCCUACUGCCUGGCACCUCUCACUGUUUCCUCAGAGCUGGCAAGUACAGGCAUGUGGCUCCAGGAGGUGCCUCCCCAGGUGCCUGCCAUCUCAGACAGCAGGGGCAGUCCACCUUCCCAGCCCCUUCUCCAUGCCAUCUUCACAGAGGUGCCCCCACUCUUCCUGGCCCUGUUAGAGUUUUUGCUCACUUCACUCAGUUCCCCCAUCUUGGGAGGGGCAGCAUCAUCCCUCUGCACAGAGCAUUCAGCUUCCUGAUGGGAUAUGUGAGCCAAGCACCAUCACCCUGGCCAAUAGGUACUGAACACCUCGGAAUCAGGUACCAUGCUGAGUACUUCAUAUACAGCAUUCACCACAUGCCUGGUGCUCUGGUAAGUAUGCUUCAUACCGUGUCUCUCAAAUCUUAGUGCAGUUUUAAGCUUUAAUUCUUUUGGAAGAAAAAUUGCCUCAAACUUACAAGCAUCAUUUGAAGGUUUAAUUUUUUACAUUAAAUUGAAGUAGAAAAUAUUUUAAUUCAAAUUUAAAAAUAGACAAAUUUAAAUAAUGAAGCAUUUUGCAUUCAUACUUCUGAAGUUUUUGAAGCUUAAAACGACACUAAAACUUCUGGGAUACUGUGUUUAACUAAUUGAAUCCUCAACAUUGCUCUAAGCAGUAGGUCAUAUGUGGCAAACACAAGGCCCGUGGGCUGAAUCUGGCCCUCCACCUUGUUUUAUCCAGCCUGGCACCUUGUUUCUACCUGGUGGCAGCACCGAGCUCUCACUUAACCGUUAAGGAGUAGUCACAUUUAUACAAUCCUAUUAUUACAUCUGGCCCUUUGAAGGCAACUGUGAGGCCGAUGUGGCCCCCAGUGAAAAUGAGUUUGAUACCCCUGCAGUAAGUGCUAUUAAUAAUAUGCCCAUUUAUAGGUAAGGAAACCAUAAGCUGUGGAGGUGAUGUGGAUUUCCCAAGAUCACACUGGAAAGGGUGGCAGAGCCGGACUGGGACCUGUCUAACAGCCGCUCUGAAGUUUGCCCCUCAUUUCAUAACAUCCCGAGCUCUCCCUGAGCUGGCACACAGUGGAGGACCUGUAGUAUAGGGUGGAGGCAUCACUGUCUAGGUAACAACAUGGUGGGUACAGACUCCUGCAGGAGCAGCCCCGUGGAGUUUCCACUGCAGGGGAAUGAAAGCAAAGUCAGGUGCAACCUGAGCUCCUGUACAAUAUUUAUCAGCAUCGAGAUGGUCCAGGAGGCCUCUAUUUCACCUGCAGUGCCAAGCUCCUGCAUGUCCCCUGGCACUAGGCUCUAUGGACAUGUGCCCCAGCCUCCUAUCCUUGCUGCAGCUUGGCUCACUCCCCAAGGUACCCAGGCUGAGUGAGUCAGGGGUUAAAAUGAAAUCUAUACCCCAGGGGCAUCCAACCCCCUUGCAAUCUGCCACUGCCAUUUCCUGUUGCUUAUGUGAAAGGCUCCCUAACCUGCUCAGCCAGGGGAGGACUUGCUCCCAAGGAAUCCUAGGCACUCUUGGCAUCCAGGGUAAAGGAUGGGUAAUGCCCCACAUCCCAGCUGUCUUCCUGACCCCUCUCUGCCCAGAUUUGCCCUGCUUUCUGGGGUGAAAGCAUGCCUUGUCAUUGCCUGGAUAGAAAGCCCACAGGUGGGUGUCAGAGACAUGCCUCAACAGGGUUCAGUUCCUCCUGCUCACAUGUCUAGGACAGGUGAGUGAGAAGAACCAGCUAGUCCUGACAGGUGCUUGGGAACCUUCACAGUGGUGAUGUCAGAACUUCCCAUAGCCAUUUGUGAAGGAAUAAGGUACUGCUGAUGUGCUGACCUGAAGGGCAGAGUGGGAUGAGAAAGGGGCCUUGUCUCCAUCUAUACUCUCUGACCCUCACUGUUAGCCUGUCAGGCACUGUCUGGGCACAAGUGUCAACCUGAGAGUCCAGGGAUAUCUUGACAGGAGUGGAGGAUGCAGGUAGAGUGAAGAUUUGGGGUGGGGAUAUUUGUGCUCAUAUCAUCCAGGAGAUCUAGAUCUGUCUACUCAUGUCAGGCCCCCAGGCGCCUCAACCUGCCCCCGUCCCUCUCCCAGUCUGUCACUCUAGCAGCUCUAUCUCUGAGGGUCUAGGAGCCAGUGACCCAUCAGUUUACAUGGCUUGACAGGAGGUCAUCUAAGGGAAUCUGGGUCCAUUUCUGUCUCUCUUGCAGUCUCAAGGGCUGGGAGAGGAGAGGGAAAAGAGGUAAAAUAAAAAGUUUGGAGAUAACAGCAAGAAUCCUGACUGAAAAGAAGUGGGUGGGCCCAGGGUAGAGCCUCUGUUUGGUGAUUCUCUGAUUUGGGUUUGGGAGGGUAGGCAUCUACCCUCUAAGAAAAGGUAAUGGAAAUGGGCCUCCAGGCAGCAUUGAAAUCCUUAAAUUCCUUUUCCAGACACCUCUGUUCAGACACUCUCAUGUUGCCUCCUCGAAGGGGGAGAACAGCUUUCUUUCUUUCCUCCAGGACUUCAUUCUUCAUCUGUCCUUGACCUCCAGCCUUCAGUCUUGCCCACAGCACCUCCCCAGGCUUGAUAGGGCAGUCUCUCAAAUGUUCCCCCAAACAGACAGUCCAGGGCCCUCUGUUCAGCAUCCCUGUGAAGCUCAGGUAUUAAAG